rnacentral:rRNA from 1 species
UGGCGGACGGGUGAGUAACGCGUGGGUAACCUGCCUUACACAGGGGGAUAACACUUAGAAAUAGGUGCUAAUACCGCAUAAGCGCACAGUCCCGCAUGGGACAGAGUGAAAAACAUUAGUGGUGUAAGAUGGACCCGCGUCUGAUUAGCUUGUUGGCGGGGUAACGGCCCACCAAGGCGACGAUCAGUAGCCGGCCUGAGAGGGUGGACGGCCACAUUGGGACUGAGACACGGCCCAAACUCCUACGGAAGGCAGCAG